UAACACCAGCCAAGGUUUCAUAGCAAGGUUUUAGCAGCACUAGGUAACAAGACUGCACAAAAAGGAAGUCCAAUAUCACAGGUGUUACUAUUAACUUUAACAAUGGCUCUGUAUCCAAGUAAGCCAUGACAGUGUGACAGUGAGCCAGCAUGAACAAUACCAGGACCCUGAAACUGAUGCAGCUAAAUGGAAUUCAGCCAUCAGUCAUUUUAUUAUUUACACUUGUGCUUUUCCUGCCGUGACAACAUGUCUUCUGUGAAAUACGCCUGUAAGGAUUUGCAAAUGUUUUGUGCAUAGUAACUAUUUUCCAAAGGCUAGUGAGUAGAUUAUAAGAUACUUUAGUAUUUUUUUUAUUUUGUGAGAUUUUAUAUUUUUGCUUGAUCAUUAUCAUUAUAAGGAACUGUUGUACUUUUAUUUUGUUACAUUUAUCUGAUGGCUUUAGUUGUGACUUACCUUGAAACAUUGAAAUUUAUCAUAUGUAAGAUAUUUUUAGUUUUUAUUCCUGACAUAUUUUUACCACUAUACUUUUUUUUUAUAUUACAAUUUAUUUUUUUUAUUCUUGUAUAUUUCUAUGAUAUCACUUCGUUAAAUUGUUGUUGUUUUUUCCACAAAUAACAGAGCAUGGGACAAAUAGUGUUUUGAGUUA